UAAGCCUGUGAAGGUGGCCUGUGAGGGUUGCUGGAGGUAUCAGAAGUGCGAAUGCUGACAUAAGUAACGAUAAAGCGGGUGAAAAGCCCGCUCGCCGGAAGACCAAGGGUUCCUGUCCAACGUUAAUCGGGGCAGGGUGAGUCGACCCCUAAGGCGAGGCCGAAAGGCGUAGUCGAUGGGAAACGGGUUAAUAUUCCCGUACUUGGUGUUACUGCGAAGGGGGGACGGAGAAGGCUAUGUUGGCCGGGCGACGGUUGUCCCGGUUUAAGCGUGUAGGUGUGUGUUCCAGGUAAAUCCGGUUCACUUUAACACUGAGGCGUGACGACGAGGCACUACGGUGCUGAAGCAACAAAUGCCCUGCUUCCAGGAAAAGCCUCUAAGCAUCAGGUAACAUCAAAUCGUACCCCAAACCGACACAGGUGGUCAGGUAGAGAAUACCAAGGCGCUUGAGAGAACUCGGGUGAAGGAACUAGGCAAAAUGGUGCCGUAACUUCGGGAGAAGGCACGCUGACACGUAGGUGAAGUGAUUUACUCAUGGAGCUGAAGUCAGUCGAAGAUACCAGCUGGCUGCAACUGUUUAUUAAAAACACAGCACUGUGCAAACACGAAAGUGGACGUAUACGGUGUGACGCCUGCCCGGUGCCGGAAGGUUAAUUGAUGGGGUCAGCGCAAGCGAAGCUCCUGAUCGAAGCCCCGGUAAACGGCGGCCGUAACUAUAACGGUCCUAAGGUAGCGAAAUUCCUUGUCGGGUAAGUUCCGACCUGCACGAAUGGCGUAAUGAUGGCCAGGCUGUCUCCACCCGAGACUCAGUGAAAUUGAACUCGCUGUGAAGAUGCAGUGUACCCGCGGCAAGACGGAAAGACCCCGUGAACCUUUACUAUAGCUUGACACUGAACAUUGAGCCUUGAUGUGUAGGAUAGGUGGGAGGCUUUGAAGUGUGGACGCCAGUCUGCAUGGAGCCGACCUUGAAAUACCACCCUUUAAUGUUUGAUGUUCUAACGUGGACCCGUUA
rnacentral:rRNA from 1 species